ACAAUGGGCGAAAGCCUGAUCCAGCCAUGCCGCGUGUGUGAAGAAGGUCUUCGGAUUGUAAAGCACUUUAAGUUGGGAGGAAGGGCAGUAAGCGAAUACCUUGCUGUUUUGACGUUACCGACAGAAUAAGCACCGGCUAACUCU
rnacentral:rRNA from 1 species